rnacentral:tRNA from 1 species
GUAGUAGCUCUGAGGUAGAGCAUCCGCUUGGCAUGCAGAAGGACCUGGGUUCAAUCCCUGGCAUCUCCA